rnacentral:rRNA from 1 species
UACGGAGGAUGCAAGCGUUAUCCGGAAUUAUUGGGCGUAAAGCGUCCGUAGGUGGCAAUUCAAGUCUGCCGUUAAAACCAGUGGCUUAACCACUGAAUAGCGGUGGAAACUGAAUAGCUAGAGUGUGGUAGGGGUAGAGGGAAUUCCCAGUGUAGCGGUGAAAUGCGUAGAGAUUGGGAAGAACACCGGUGGCGAAAGCGGUCUGCUGGACCACAACUGGCACUCAAAGGACGAAAGCUAGGGGAGCGAAAGGG